rnacentral:misc_RNA from 1 species
UCUCCGUUGGUGAACCAGCGGAGGGAUCAUUGCUGGAACGCGCUUCGGCGCACCCAGAAACCCUUUGUGAACUUAUACCUAUUGUUGCCUCGGCGCAGGCCGGCCUUUUGUGACAAAGGCCCCCUGGAGACAGGGAGCAGCCCGCCGGCGGCCAACCAAACUCUUGUUUCUACAGUGAAUCUCUGAGUACAAAACAUAAAUGAAUCAAAACUUUCAACAACGGAUCUCUUGGUUCUGGCAUCGAUGAAGAACGCAGC